UCCGGUUUAACACCGGCAGUCUCCUCAGAGUGCCCAACUUAAUGGUGGCAACUAAGGACAAGGGUUGCGCUCGUUGCGGGACUUAACCCAACAUCUUACGACACGAGCUGACGACAGCCAUGCAGCACCUAUCUCUCUGUCCCCGAAGGGAAAGUCACAUCUCUGUGAUUGUCAGAGGAUGUUAAGCCCAGGUAAGGUUCUGCGCGUUGCUUCGAAUUAAACCACAUACUCCACCGCUUGUGCGGGCCCCCGUCAAUUCCUUUGAGUUUUAGUCUUGCGACCGUACUCCCCAGGCGGGAUACUUAAUGCGUGAGCUACGGUACCCAGGAGAUUAAAAUCCCGGACACCUAGUAUCCAUAGUUUACAGCGUGGACUAC
rnacentral:misc_RNA from 1 species